rnacentral:pre_miRNA from 1 species
UAUUAAAAAAUUAUUUAUUUGUAUUAUUAAAAAUUGGUGCACCUGUCAAAAUAACCAGAAAUAACACGUGGUGUGCCAUGUGUACGUCAUGCUGACGUACAGAGACUAACUUUUAACAGUAAAAACGGAUAUAAUUUUUAACA